rnacentral:rRNA from 1 species
AUUGAACGCUGGCGGCAUGCUUUACACAUGCAAGUCGGACGGCAGCACAGAGAAGCUUGCUUCUUGGGUGGCGAGUGGCGAACGGGUGAGUAACAUAUCGGAACGUACCGAGCAGUGGGGGAUAACUAAUCGAAAGAUUAGCUAAUACCGCAUAUAUUCUGAGGAAGAAAGCAGGGGACCAUUUGGCCUUGCGCUGUUUGAGCGGCCGAUAUCUGAUUAGCUAGUUGGUGGGGUAAAGGCCUACCAAGGCGACGAUCAGUAGCGGGUCUGAGAGGAUGAUCCGCCACACUGGGACUGAGACACGGCCCAGACUCCUACGGGAGGCAGCAGUGGGGAAUUUUGGACAAUGGGCGCAAGCCUGAUCCAGCCAUGCCGCGUGUCUGAAGAAGGCCUUCGGGUUGUAAAGGACUUUUGUCAGGGAAGAAAAGGGCGGGGUUAAUACCCCUGUCUGAUGACGGACCUGAAGAAUAAGCACCGCA